rnacentral:rRNA from 1 species
GAUGAACGCUGGCGACGUGCUUAACACAUGCAAGUCGAACGAAGCGCCUUAUUUGAUUUUCUUCGGAACUGAAGAUUUGGUGACUGAGUGGCGGACGGGUGAGUAACGCGUGGGUAACCUACCCUGUACAGGGGGAUAACAAUCAGAAAUGACUGCUAAUACCGCAUAAGACCACAGCACCGCAUGGUGCAGGGGUAAAAACUCCGGUGGUACAGGAUGGACCCGCGUCUGAUUAGCUGGUUGGUGAGGUAACGGCUCACCAAGGCGACGAUCAGUAGCCGGCUUGAGAGAGUGAACGGCCACAUUGGGACUGAGACACGGCCCAAACUCCUACGGGAGGCAGCAGUGGGGAAUAUUGCACAAUGGGGGGAACCCUGAUGCAGCGACGCCGCGUGAGUGAAGAAGUAUUUCGGUAUGUAAAGCUCUAUCAGCAGGGAAGAAAAUGACGGUACCUGACUAAGAAGCCC